AUUGAACGCUGGCGGAAUGCUUUACACAUGCAAGUCGAACGGCAGCACGGACUUCGGUCUGGUGGCGAGUGGCGAACGGGUGAGUAAUAUAUCGGAACGUAUCUAAUAAUGGGGGAUAACUAAUCGAAAGGUUGGCUAAUACCGCAUACGUCCUACGGGAGAAAGCUAGGGACCUUCGGGCCUGGCGUUAAUGGAGCGGCCGAUAUCGGAUUAGCUAGUUGGUGAGGUAAAGGCUCACCAAGGCGACGAUCCGUAGCUGGUCUGAGAGGACGACCAGCCACACUGGAACUGAGACACGGUCCAGACUCCUACGGGAGGCAGCAGUGGGGAAUUUUGGACAAUGGGCGCAAGCCUGAUCCAGCCAUUCCGCGUGAGUGAAGAAGGCCUUCGGGUUGUAAAGCUCUUUCGCAAGGGAAGAAAACUUAUCCUCUAGCAUAGGAUGAGGUUGACGGUACCUUGAUAAGAAGCACCGGCUAACUACGUGCCAGCCGCCGCGGUAACAC
rnacentral:rRNA from 1 species